rnacentral:rRNA from 1 species
ACGUACACUCCUGCGGGAGGCAGCAGUGGGGAAUAUUGGACAAUGGGCGCAAGCCUGAUCCAGCCAUGCCGCGUGAGUGAUGAACGCCCUAGGGUUGUAAAGCUCUUUCACCGGAGAAGAUAAUGACGGUAUCCGGAGAAGAAGCCCCGGCUAACUUCGUGCCAGCAGCCGCGGUAAUACGAAGGGGGCUAGCGUUGUUCGGAAUUACUGGGCGUAAAGCGCACGUAGGCGGAUCGAUCAGUCAGGGGUGAAAUCCCAGGGCUCAACCCUGGAACUGCCUUUGAUACUGUCGAUCUGGAGUAUGGAAGAGGUGAGUGGAAUUCCGAGUGUAGAGGUGAAAUUCGUAGAUAUUCGGAGGAACACCAGUGGCGAAGGCGGCUCACUGGUCCAUUACUGACGCUGAGGUGCGAAAGCGUGGGGAGCAAACAGGAUUAGAAACCCCGGUAGUCCCAU